rnacentral:rRNA from 1 species
GACGAAGGGGCUAGCGUUGUUCGGAAUUACUGGGCGUAAAGCGCACGUAGGCGGCGAUUUAAGUUAGAGGUGAAAGCCCGGGGCUCAACUCCGGAAUUGCCUUUAAGACUGCAUCGCUUGAAUCAUGGAGAGGUGAGUGGAAUUCCGAGUGUAGAGGUGAAAUUCGUAGAUAUUGGAAGGAAACACCAGUGGCGUAAGGGCGACUCACUGGACAUG